rnacentral:rRNA from 1 species
AUUGAACGCUGGCGGCAGGCUUAACACAUGCAAGUCGAGCGGUAACAGAGAGAAGCUUGCUUCUCUGCUGACGAGCGGCGGACGGGUGAGUAAUGCCUAGGAAUCUGCCUAGUAGUGGGGGAUAACUUGCCGAAAGGUAAGCUAAUACCGCAUACGUCCUACGGGAGAAAGGAGGGGACCUUCGGGCCUUUCGCUAUUAGAUGAGCCUAGGUCGGAUUAGUUAGUUGGUGAGGUAAUGGCUCACCAAGACCGCGAUCCGUAACUGGUCUGAGAGGAUGAUCAGUCACACUGGAACUGAGACACGGUCCAGACUCCUACGGGAGGCAGCAGUGGGGAAUAUUGGACAAUGGGGGGAACCCUGAUCCAGCCAUGCCGCGUGUGUGAAGAAGGUCUUAGGAUUGUAGAGCACUUUAAGUUGGGAGGAAGAGCAGUUAACUAAUAUUUGACUGUUUUGACGUUACCGACAGAAUAAGCACCGGCUAACUUCGUG